rnacentral:rRNA from 1 species
UACAGAGGGUGCGAGCGUUAAUCGGAAUUACUGGGCGUAAAGCGCACGUAGGUGGCGACGUAAGUCGGGUGUGAAAGCCCCGGGCUCAACCUGGGAACUGCAUUCGAGACUGCAUUGCUGGAGUACGGAAGAGGAGGGCGGAAUUCCCGGUGUAGCGGUGAAAUGCGUAGAUAUCGGGAGGAACAUCAGUGGCGAAGGCGGCCCUCUGGUCCAGUACUGACACUCAAGUGCGAAAGCGUGGGGAGCAAACAG